rnacentral:rRNA from 1 species
UAAACAUUAGAGUUUGAUCCUGGCUCAGAGUGAACGCUGGCGGCGUGCCUAAUACAUGCAAGUCGAACGCGAAAGUCCUUCGGGAUGAGUAAAGUGGCGCACGGGUGAGUAAUGGUUGAGAACAUGCCCUGAGGUGGGGA